rnacentral:rRNA from 1 species
UGCAAGUCGAACGGUCAAAAUCUGGGGUGCUUGCACCUAGAAGACGAGUGGCGAACGGGUGAGUAACACGUAGGAACCUGCCCCAAAGAGGGGGACAACCUCGGGAAACUGAGGCUAAUACCCCAUGUGCCGGCAACGGUAAAGGAUACUCUGUAUCCGCUUUGGGAUGGGCCUGCGGUCUAUCAGCUUGUUGGUGAGGUAAAGGCUUACCAAGGCUACGACGGAUAGCCGGUCUGAGAGGAUGAUCGGCCACACUGGAACUGAGACACGGUCCAGACUCCUACGGGAGGCAGCAGUUAAGGAUCUUGCGCAAUGGGGGCAACCCUGACGCAGCCACGCCGCGUGAGCGAUGAAGGCCCUCGGGUUGUAAAGCUCGGUAUGAUGGGAAGAAUAAGAUUGGUCCAAUAGGCCAGUCGAUGACGGUACCAUCCUGCAGCCCCGGCUAAUUACGUGCCAGCAGCCGCGGUAAUACGUAUGGGGCAAGCGUUGUUCGGAUUUAUUGGGCGUAAAGGGCACGCAGGCGGACUGUUAAGUUGGAUGUAUAACCUUCAGGCUCAACCUGAAGUCUGCAUCCAAAACUAGCAGUCUAGAGUACCAGAGGGGAAAGCGGAAUUCUUGGUGUAGCGGUGGAAUGCGUAGAUAUCAAGAGGAACACCAGUGGCGAAGGCGGCUUUCUGGCUGGAAACUGACGCUCAUGUGCGAAAGCGUGGGGAGCAAACAGGAUUAGAUACCCUGGUAGUCCACGCCGU